rnacentral:rRNA from 1 species
CACAGGCCCGGUGAAAUUGCAGUACGAGUAAAGAUGCUCGUUACGCGCGGCAGGACGAAAAGACCCCGGGACCUUCACUAUAGCUUGGUAUUGGUGUUUGGUUCGGUUUUGUGUAGGAUAGGUGGGAGACUGUGAAGUGGUCACGCUAGUGGUUGUGGAGUCGAAAGUUGAAAUACCACUCUGAUCGGAUUGAGCACCUGAACCUU